GAGCCGGAAGAGCAAAAAUGGCGGCGGCAAUGCGAGUGGCGGCGGCUGGGGCAAGGCUCAGCCUUCUAGUCAGCGGCUUCCGCACCGCGGCCCGCAGCCUUUGCAGCCAGCCCGUUUCGGUGAACGAGCGCAUCGAGAACAAGCGCCGCAGCGCGCUGCUGGGAGGCGGCCAGCGCCGCAUCGACGCGCAGCACAAGCGAGGAAAGCUAACUGCCAGGGAGCGGAUCAGUCUCCUGGUGGAUCCUGGCAGCUUUGUUGAGAGCGACAUGUUUGUGGAACACAGAUGUGCAGAUUUUGGAAUGGCUGCUGAUAAGAAUAAGUUUCCUGGAGACAGCGUGGUCACUGGACGGGGCCGAAUCAAUGGAAGAUUGGUAUAUAUCUUCAGUCAGGAUUUUACAGUUUUUGGAGGCAGUCUGUCAGGAGCACAUGCCCAAAAGAUCUGCAAAAUCAUGGACCAGGCCAUAACAGUGGGGGCUCCAGUGAUUGGGCUGAAUGACUCUGGGGGAGCACGGAUCCAAGAGGGGGUGGAAUCCUUGGCUGGCUACGCAGACAUCUUUCUGAGGAAUGUCACAGCAUCCGGAGUCAUCCCUCAGAUUUCUCUGAUCAUGGGCCCGUGUGCUGGCGGGGCUGUCUACUCUCCAGCCCUAACAGACUUCACGUUCAUGGUAAAGGACACCUCAUACCUGUUCAUCACUGGCCCUGAUGUUGUAAAGUCUGUCACCAAUGAGGAUGUUACCCAGGAAGAGCUCGGCGGUGCCAAGACCCAUACUACCAUGUCAGGUGUGGCCCACAGAGCUUUUGAAAAUGACGUUGAUGCCUUGUGUAAUCUCCGGGAGUUCUUCAACUUUCUGCCCCUCAGCAGUCAGGACCCGGCUCCCAUCCGCGAGUGCCAUGAUCCCAGUGAUCGUCUAGUUCCUGAGCUCGACACAGUUGUCCCUUUGGAAUCUACCAAAGCCUACGACAUGGUGGACAUCAUACACUCUGUUGUUGAUGAGCGAGAAUUUUUUGAGAUCAUGCCUAAUUACGCCAAGAACAUCGUUGUUGGUUUUGCAAGAAUGAAUGGAAGGACUGUUGGAAUUGUUGGCAACCAACCUAAGGUGGCCUCAGGAUGCUUGGAUAUUAAUUCAUCUGUGAAAGGGGCUCGUUUUGUCAGGUUCUGUGAUGCAUUCAAUAUUCCACUCAUCACUUUCGUGGAUGUCCCUGGCUUUCUGCCUGGCACAGCACAGGAAUAUGGGGGCAUCAUCCGACAUGGCGCCAAGCUUCUCUACGCAUUUGCUGAGGCAACUGUGCCCAAAGUCACAGUCAUCACCAGGAAGGCCUAUGGAGGUGCCUAUGAUGUCAUGAGCUCUAAGCACCUUCUUGGUGACACCAACUAUGCCUGGCCCACAGCAGAGAUCGCAGUCAUGGGAGCAAAGGGUGCUGUGGAGAUCAUCUUCAAAGGGCAUGAGAAUGUGGAAGCUGCUCAGGCAGAGUACAUUGAGAAAUUUGCCAAUCCUUUUCCUGCAGCAGUGAGAGGGUUUGUGGAUGACAUCAUCCAACCUUCCACCACUCGUGCCCGAAUCUGCUGUGACCUUGAGGUCUUGGCCAGCAAGAAGACAUGUUUGAGGAACGCUUGCUCACCAGUUAUUUUGUAGAAAGGCCCUCAGUUCGGGUUUGUCUGAUUGUCUUCUGAUGUUAAGAUUCAGAUGCUGCCUAAUCCACUGACUGAUGCCAGCUAAGAGGAAUUACUAUAUGAUGAUGGUUGUGAAAAAUCUCUAAGGACACACAUUAAACCAUGGGGUCACCUUUGAAAAGAGAGAGACUGAGAAUUUAAAGUUUUGCUUCACAUAUUCCUGGAAUAUUUUUAAACAAGAGAAUGUAUUACUAAGGUUAUGUGUGUAUUCUUUCCUGUAUUUCUUCCUUUGCUUAUAAACACCGAUGUUCAAAAAAACAGGAAGUUUGGCUCAAAAAGUUUAUUUUAUUUUAUUUUUUAAAGUGUUCAAACCAGGGCAGAAUUUCUGGAAGGAGGGAAUGAGGAUGGUAAGAACAACAAGAGUUUAUAGCAUCUGAACCAUAACCCGUUCCCUUCCCUUGUCCCCUUCUCCUCCAGUACAGUUCCGUUAUGGAAACUUGACCCCAUCUUCUUAGUGACCUGCUUAGGGUCACUAAGAUGAUAUGGUCACCCUCUCUCUCUCUAGCUCCCAGUCUACAGUGCCACCCUGAAUGAAAGGAGCACACCAUUUGCAUUUCUCAUCACCCCCUAGCCCUAUGUUGUAGGAGCUCUUUUCUGAGCAAUGAGGAACAAUGAGGUUCCAUUUUCCUACCCAGCCUCCACUUGUGGGGUAGAAACUCUAUCGUAGGCACAGCAGGCUGAGAAUACUGGGGCUCUGAAUGUCUCACCUCAACUCCCUCGUAAAGUGGAGGCUCCAUACCUGGAGAGGCAAACAGAGAACCAGGGGUAACCUGCCUUUCUUUAUGCAGGGGUAUUAUUUUGGGAGAAGAAGGAUGCUGUCCCAUCCCAUCCUAGCCCUCCUUUUUCCCCCCUUCGGAGACAUGAAAGUUAUAAGUUCUGCCCAGGAGCUGAGAGAUUGUAAGGAAGAAAUUCUUCAGCUCUGUUGGGGAGGGGACUGACUAUUUGGAAUGGAGCUGAGAUAGGAUGACCUCCACUUUCAUAACAUAUGCAAUUCGCUUCUGUGAAACUGCUUGCUGUGUGACAAGGUAGAUUAAGUUUAAAUUGCUUAGAAAAUGUUUUUUGAAAGUCCCCCUCAGCUCUUCAGCCCCCUUGAUAAAAGUUAAAAGCUAAAUAUUAGCCUGCACUUAGAGAAGUUUGAAUUUUGUUUGCUGUUCCCCACCCAAGCUGCCCCUGAUUUUAACUGGCUUGUUUCAGCUUCUGUUAUCAGCUUGCGCUAGGCCUCCCCAAACCCCCUCCUCAUGCCAGGAGGGUAUGUGUGUAUGUGUGUGACUAUAUGAUAACUGUAAGUGUGUGACUAUUUGAUAAUUUUAACUGUGUGACUGAUGUAAAAAUGUGCCUUUAAAAAAACCCUCUAAACUUCAAGUCAGCGCUGCUCUCUUCUGAGACUUUCUUGGAGGGACAGUCGCCAGCUGGCCAAU